UACGAAGGGGGCUAGCGUUGCUCGGAAUCACUGGGCGUAAAGGGUGCGUAGGCGGGUUUUUAAGUCAGGGGUGAAAUCCUGGAGCUCAACUCCAGAACUGCCUUUGAUACUGAAGAUCUUGAGUUCGGAGAGGUGAGUGGAACUGCGAGUGUAGAGGUGAAAUUCGUAGAUAUUCGCAAGAACACCAGUGGCGAAGGCGGCUCACUGGCCCGAUACUGACGCUGAGGCACGAAAGCGUGGGGAGCAAACAGG
rnacentral:rRNA from 1 species